GCCCGGCUAGCUCAGUCCUUAGAUCAUG
rnacentral:sRNA from 1 species